rnacentral:rRNA from 1 species
GGAAAACAUGGGGCCAUCGACCGGGGAAAUAAGAAGGUGGCAGUGGUGGAUUGGAAGGACGGGGCGUAAAGCGGGGUGUGGCGGUGAUUUAAGUCUGUUGUGAAAUCCCCGGGCUCGACGUGGGAAUGGCAAUGGAUACUGGGUCGCUAGAGUGUGAGAGAGGAUGGUGGAAUUCCCGGUGUAGCGGUGAAAUGCGUAGAGAUCGGGAGGAACAUCAGUGGCGAAGGCGGCCAUCUGGAUCAACACUGACGCUGAGGCACGAAAGCGUGGGGAGCAAACAGGAUUAGAUACCCUGUAGUC